UGUUGAGAAAGUGCGUUCUGAAUUCGAAAGAACACUUCCCUUCCCUUUGUUUUUGUAAUUUUGUGAACGUGGCGAAAGGGGUGACAGAAAAACUCUGCAAGAAAAAAAAUACCUUUACACAUCUGAAUUUUGAUAUUUCAGUUUAUAUAGCUAUGGAUUUUUGUUUAUUUAAAGAGCUGUGCAAUUAAACAGAAUCUGUGAUAUGAUAUGAAAUAAAUGAAUUUCUUUACGAACGAAAAUAUAGCAGAAACCAAAACCCUCAAAAAUGGCUUUAAAAAAGGUAAAAGGAAACAUAGAGCGAAUGUUCGAUAAAAAUUUAACAGAUUUAGUAAGAGGAAUUCGAAAUAACAAGGAAAAUGAGGCCAAAUAUAUUUCAGAAUGCAUGGAAGGAAUCAAACAGGAACUCAGACAAGACAAUUUAUCUGU